UGACUAUGUUGUUAUCAUGUUUUCAUUCUAUUCAACGUUUAGGUUCUCUACAAUGAUGUCUGAGUAGAGAAUAGGUUUCUGAGGAUGUGUUAGAGUAGUGUAGAAUUCUCAGUAUGCUAGGUGGUUGAGUUUGAUUGAUAGAUCCCUUCUGGAUUAGUUGUUUUUAAUGCCUAUUGCUUUCUGAUCAACUGGAGUUUGAGCCCAGACAUUUCCGCGCCCAAAAGGUGUUCGAUGAAAUGUCUGAACCACUAAUUCCAGAGAUUCGUGGCCAUAUACCAAGGUAUUGGUUGCAGGGAGCGUUUUGGCUUUAACUUGUUGAUUCGUAAUGCUUGUUAGGUUAACUCUCGUCAAUGGUGAUUGAGUCUGGGACUAGGUUAACUUGAGGGUCUCUGUUGCGGUGAC
rnacentral:sRNA from 1 species